GGCACCAAAGGUGUGGCUGCUGCCACCAGGAGUGUGUCCACCAUCGCGCUUGCCGCGUUUCCAGCACUGCUGCGAAGAUCCAGAGCCGCCACCCGAGCCACCACUGGGGUGCUGCUGAUGUGGGCGCUGGGGCGGCGCUGGAGAGUUGCGAGGAGCAAGCGUGGACGAGGUGGGAGGCUUGGUAUUGCUGGAGCCACCAUUUUCAGGGAGGCAGCAAGAGCUGCAGCUGGUGUAGCUUUCGCCAUGGUAAGUUGACCCGUUUACACAAGGACUAGCCCCGAAAUAGUGGGUAUGCAAGUAAAUACACAAGGAUUAACCCCGAAACUCUUAACAAUACUUUAACACAAGCCAUGGCUCAGGUGGUCUAGGGCUCAAAUCCGCCUCUGGCUGUAGCACAAUUACCUCCUGAUGAUUUGUAUUUCUGCAAAACAUAGAUGCUCAUCUAAUCAGCUAUCAAGGAUAACCGGCCGAUAUGGUUGCAAACUUGCAUUGCUGUUUGAAUCCAGCUCAAAAGGCUAGAUCCUAGAACAGGUAGACCUAAGGCUGUUUGCAGCAGAUCACACAUAUUGUCGUGUAAAACACUGUUUUUGUAAAAUACUGUUUUACAGGCUACAUUGUUUACGGAGUGGAGUUUAAAAUAAGAGAUGUUAGACCGUAGAUUACACUGUUUAUAAAGUGGAGUUUAAAAUAAGAGAUGUGAUAUGAGAGACCGUUGAAGAUAGCUUUAACAAAAGUUCCCCUUAUGCUGUGUGGUAUUUUCUGUAAAAUAUUAAUGUAAUAUCUAGCCGUUUUUUGUAAAAAAAAUGGAAGUUGUGAGUAUGUAUCCUAUACUUCACAAAGAAGUCCUUGCAACUUACUAUAAUUUCAAUAGAGAUUUGUAGUGACUGUAGUGAAAGAUAUUGCCCUUUUAGCAACUCUCCCAUUAGCACAAGCACUUUUGACUGAACCAGUGUGACUGUGAGCAUGUAUCCUGCACACCACUACUGAAAAAUUCAAUGUAGAUUCAGGCAUGCAGCUAUCCCUUUAUCCAUGUUAAUGUCAGCACACAAUAAUAAGGGAAAAAUGCUUCUAGAGCCCUUAUGUCAGUCCCCACCCACCUGAGAUGAACCUGUUCCUAGUGGUUGAUACGGAAGGUGUCAACAUAGAGUAAACAACAAAGACGCAUUCGGCAUGAGGGCUCUUAAUAAUACCCUUCAUCUCUUAUUCUUUUUUUAGAUCAAGGUUUAACCCUGCUUUUAGAAAGCAAGUGAUCCAUACCUUCACAUCUUAUUCUCCUCAAUUAGAAUAGAUUGUACGCAUGCUCAGUGCUGGAUAUCCAUGCUUUGCCUCUUGUUUCUUUUCUGAAAGUUAGGACCACCAGGCCCUUCUCUUGAAAGUGAAGUUUGGUAGUUGUGAUAUAGCAUCUAGUAACUGGUUUUGGUUCUUGGAUCAUAUUAGUUAGGAUGGUUUUUUUGUGACCAUAUUCUCCAUAUUUACGUUGACAUUUCAUCAGGUAUCAUUUAGCUCCACACGUUUUCUUGGUGCUGGAUACAAAUGGGCAUUUUGGUAACAGUUUGCUGUCUUCCAAGAAGGGCUUUUGUCUAAUUAGCUAUUAGCCAAAUGCAUUAUAAAAAGAGCUUGUUGUUCUGUUCUCAGUUUCCUUUUGAUGAAGAUUGUAUUUAAAACCAACUACAG
rnacentral:lncRNA from 1 species